rnacentral:rRNA from 1 species
UGAAUACGAGACGCUAAGGCGUCGAAGUAGUGUAUGUCAUACUUCCAAGAAAAGCUUGCACUGUCAUAGAUAAAAAACGCCUGUACCAUAACCGACACAGGUGGGUAGGUAGAGUAUACUAAGGGGCGCGAGAUAACUCUCUCUAAGGAACUCGGCAAAAUAACUCCGUAACUUCGGGAGAAGGAGUGCCUUAUUCGUAAGGUUGCAAUAACAAGAUCCAAGCAACUGUUUAUCAAAAACACAGGUCUCCGCUAAGUCGUAAGACGAUGUAUGGGGGCUGACGCCUGCCCAGUGCCAGAAGGUUAAAGAAGUUGGUUAGCAAUUGCGAAGCUGAUAACUGAAGCCCUGGUGAACGGCGGCCGUAACAAUAACGGUCCUAAGGUAGCGAAAUUCCUUGUCGGGUAAGUUCCGACCCGCACGAAAGGCGUAAUGAUUUGGAUACUGUCUCGGAGAGGGGCUCGGUGAAAUAGACUUGUCUGUGAAGAUGCGGACUACCUGCACCAGGACAGAAAGACCCUAUGAAGCUUUACUGUAACUUGAAAUUGAAAUUGGACUUUAUUCGCGCAGUAUAGGUGGGAGGCGUUGAUUAUAAUCUUGUGGGAUUAUUGGAGCCAUCAGUGAGAUACCACUCUUGUAAUGUUAGAUUUCUAACUUUGAAUCAUUAUCUGGUCAAAGAACAGUUUCAGGCGGGCAGUUUGACUGGGGCGGUCGCCUCCUAAACGGUAACGGAGGCGUACAAAGGUUUCCUCUGAACGGUUAGAAAUCGUAUCUAGAGUGUAAAGGCAUAAGGAAGCUUGACUGUGAGACCUACAAGUCGAGCAGGGACGAAAGUCGGUCUUAGUGAUCUGACGGUACUGAGUGGAAAGGCCGUCACUCAACGGAUAAAAGUUACUCUAGGAUAACAGGCUGAUCUCCCCCAAGAGUUCACAUCGACGGGGAGGUUUGGCACCUCGAUGUCGGCUCAUCGCAUCCUGGGGCGGUAGUACGUCCCAAGGGUUGGGCUGUUCGCCCAUGAAAGCGGUACGCGAGCUGGGUUCAGAACGCCGUGAGACAGUUCGGUCCAUAUCCGGUGUAGGCGUUAGAAUAUUGAGAGGAGCCUUCUUUAGUACGAGAGGACCGAGAAGGACAUACCUCUGGUGUACCAGUUAUCGUGCCAACGGUAAACGCUGGGUAGCUAUGUAUGGAGUGGAUAACCGCUGAAAGCAUCUAAGUGGGAAGCCCACCUCAAGAUAAGUAUUCUCA